AUUGAACGCUGGAGGCAGGCCUAACACAUGCAAGUCGGACGAGUGGCGGACGGGUGAGUAAUGUAUGGGGAACUGCCUGAUGGAGGGGGAUAACUACUGGAAACGGUAGCUAAUACCGCCUACAAUCAGAUGACCCCAUAUGGGAGUAGCUUGGAGGUGGGGUAACGGCUCACCUAGGCGACGAUCCCUAGGUGGUCUGAGAGGAUGAUCAGCCACACUGGGACUGAGACACGGCCCAGACUCCUACGGGAGGCAGCAGUGGGGAAUAUUGCACAAUGGGCGCAAGCCUGAUGCAGCCAUGCCGCGUGUAUGAAGAAGGCCUUCGGUUUUUAAAGUACUUUCAGUCGGGAGGCGUUACCCACAGAAGAAGCACCGGCUAACUCCGUGCCAGCAGCCGCGGUAAUUC
rnacentral:rRNA from 1 species